GAGGAAUGUUUAAUGUAAAACUCAACUUGAUGAAAAUAACUGAAGUUUCUGACAAACCAAUAAAUUGGAGUCUAGAAAGCUCUGCGUAUACAGUACAGUCAGGGAGGGGCAACACCCGCUGGGUCAUCAAUUUUGGUGAAGACUUCCUGUUCGUUUAUACUAAAAUAAUACUAGGUAGGUAAUUCAAUUUCUUCCCAGCUGUAAACAUAGACUGGAAUGCUGUACGCAGAUCUGGCUGAGGGUGGAGGGGGGGCCGGCACUCACUCCUCACUCCUUACUGCAGUUUCCAGGCUGAAAUUGCACUAGCACAUCAACAGUCGUCGAGAGUUCCCACUCAGAAGACUCAGAUGUUUGCUGUUGGAGAUGUGCUCAUGCAGACAGCUUUCUGUAGGACCUCAGGAGGAUGCAGGAUAGGCUGCAGGAAGGCUGCCACCCAUCCAGGUCUGCUCCUCCCGGCCUGUUGCCUACUGGCAGGUCCAACCUUGAGGUUGUGUUUAAGCUCAAGGUAAUGCAGAAAUGAAACUGUAAUCUUAGAUACAGCAAUAUAAAAAUGGAUGUGCCCCACCGACUUCAGAGUGUGGUUAUUUAUUUGACAUGUGGGGGGGAGCACAUUCUCCCAAAGGGAGCUGCUGCACAUGGUGUGUGUAAUAACCGCUCAGCUCAUCUUCCUCCAGAAGCAGGGAAGAUUGGCUAGGAGAGGUGAGGCCCCAGGGAGUUUCAAAAAAGGUGAUAGAUUAUUAAGUGUUUACCUUUUCACUGCUGCUGUUACCAGCCUGCAGUGCUCUACUCGAGCCUUGUUUUCUUCUUGCAAAAUUUGCCUAACACUGUAAAAGAUUCACUUGUGCUUUAAAUGUGGCAGACUGAGUUAUUCCCCCCCACUCCAGGCCAAUAUGGUAAGAUCAGACUUUAAAACAGAACUUUGUAAGAGUCCAUGCUUGCUAGUUAGUGAGAUUUAGUUCACAGUGCUGUGACCAGAGCAGAUUGUUCACUUGAGAAAAACACCAUGGACUUUUAUGUUGUGUUUCAGGAAAUACAAUCUGUACAAGCUUGAGGAUAUUGUUGAGUAGCUGACCUUGGAGGAUCAGCUCUAGGUUUUUUGCCAGCUACCUCACUCUCCUUCCAUUUGCUGUCUGCUCUCUUAAUGUAACUCCAUUACAGUCAGCAUUUAUGUAUCUUUUUAGGAGUGUAAGUGGGUUUUAUUUUUGCUAUUUUUCUUGUAAGUUUACAAAUUCUAAAUGCUUUCUCUCAGGUAAUUUUGAAAUAUGGUGACAGAAAUAUGGGCUGAAUAAUCAGCAGCGACUCAGAGGAUCUAAUAUGUAUUUAUAACUAUCAGGGUAUAUUGUUCUAUUUUCCCAGAAGCUUAAUAAUGAAUAACCAUAAACCUGGAGUGCUUAUAUUAAUCUCCGUAGGAUAUUACAGUUUGCACUUCAGUCCUGAAGCAUUUUUUCAAUGACAGCACCUUGGUUUGUGCCUUUUUCAUUUCUUCUCUCCCAUACAGGUCUGUCCAUAAACCAGAUGGUAUUUCUUACCGCAUGGGGACAGCAGCUAGAAGAUAAUGCAGAAAGAAAACAGACCGUGUUUGUACUUUCUAUUGUUGAAAUACUAUCAACAAGGCUUGUGUAUGUAAACUAUUUGUACACUUUGGAAGACACUUUCUGUUGGUAUUCCAGAACUUUAAAUUGAUAUUUAAUGAAUAGUUUGAUACUUUUGUGUGCUAUCUUUAUCUUGUGAGUAUAAACUUUACACGGUGCUUGAUAAGCUCAUGUAGGCUCCCUUUUCCUAUGAAUUGUUAGACCUAUGACCUUAAAAAGUCCCUUCCAACCCAGGCUGUUCUGUGAUUCAUUGAGUCUAAACUUACUUGUGCAAUCGGGCAAAAUGUAGCCUGAUAACCAGAAGUUAAAAAAACAGCAUUUGGGCUGAUUGCACACAUCAACAGAGAUACUGAAGGAGAAUGAUAAUGUUUGGGACUUGUAUUUAUUCUCUACAGGUAGGGCCUGCUGGCUACAGGAAGUACAGUGGGAAGUGCAAGGACAGAAGGUCCUGUGACAUUGAACGGUAUGAAGCCAACAUCAGAAAUCACCUACCAUAUCCUUUCCUCCAGUGAUGAGCUGGAAAUAAGUUUCUGUGCUGUGAGUAUUUAGUUGCUUUAGAGGAGCUUCCUAGCAGCUACAGCUGCAUCGCUUCUCUGGCUGCUAGCCCAGCUAAUACCAUGGUAAUGCAGUCAUGCAGUUUGUUCUGCAGCUAAGUUCCUAUUUGAACAUCUUUACUUCCUGAAAUUGAAGAUUAAACAUCUCUCUUGUGCUUUUCUAAAGGCUUUACAUAAAUCAUUUGUGUCAGUACACACAAGAGCAAAUCCCACUCUGCUGUCGGCGUGGCUGCUCCCCAGUACGGCUCUGUUCCUAAAGAUAUGUGUGGCAUUUGUGGACCUGGCACUGCUACAGUCAGGCCAAGGACUGAUGUUAGCUGAAGUGAAUCUAGUACUUAAAAUGUCAGUAGAUUUUGUGCUCUUAAAAGUGAUGGACUAAUACUCUUUGGCUUGCAACUAGAGUAAUAUAAGUUUCUCCAAGUGUUUUUGCCAAGCUUGCUCAGUCUUGGCCUAUAUUCUUUCUGCUGUAGAGGCUUUUAGUCUGAACUAGACCAAGUACUGGGGAACAGCCUGUUGGGAAUAAUCUUGCACUAGGAUGAUGAUGACCAAAACGACCUAAUAAAUCUUCCUCACCUUUACUUUAUAUCUUUCCUUUUUCUCUUAUAUUUCUCCCUGCUAGUGGGAGAGAAUUUUGUGUCCUGUGGACCAAGAAGACAAUGACAGACCUGUGGUCUUGGUUUUUCAGUGGUGAAAAGCCAGAACAUCUCAAGGAUAGACCCACAGAAGAAGGUUUAACACUGAUGUUUACAUGGUCCUCAGGGUACAGAUGUUCUGCUGGGUAUUUCACUCUGACAAGCAGGCAGCAUUUUGUUCUCAUCAGGAUUUCCAAAUGUUUGGGGUAUUGGAGCAGAAGAAACUGUAUCUUUCUAGAGAUUAUUUUUAUGGAAUGUAUUAUGAAAAGAGGUCCUUAGGAAAUAGCAAGUCACCAGAAUGCUUAUUAAAAUGACCUUAAGGUCAGAUUCUGCCACUGUUAAUCACAAUAGUUGUUCCUUACCCUGUGAGCUUUCCCAUUGGAUUCAGUGGGAUUACUCAAGGAAUUUGGAUACUACCUGAUGGGACCAAAGUGGCAGCAAGACUAGCCUUAAUAAUUGUAGCAGCUGUAACACAACAUGCCUUUGUUUUUACCUUACCUUUUAGCUAGUUAAAAAUACGUUGCAUGACAUUUGUUUUCUUUUGAGGAUUCCCUCUUCAAAAAGAUGAAACUUUGUGUAGCAAAUGUAUUCUGUCAUUUUUGUCAUCAGUACUUUAAUAUAUGUAUUUAUUUAUAUUUAUUUAUAUGUAUUUAUUUAUUAAUAUAUUUAUUGUCAUAGUGAAGUCAUCUUUGCUAAGAUACACUUCAGGUUUUGUAUCUCUCUCUCUCUCUUUUUUUUAAACCGUG
rnacentral:lncRNA from 1 species